rnacentral:rRNA from 1 species
GACGAACGCUGGCGGCGUGCUUAACACAUGCAAGUCGAACGGAAAGGCCCUGCUUUUGUGGGGUGCUCGAGUGGCGAACGGGUGAGUAACACGUGAGUAACCUGCCCUUGACUUUGGGAUAACUUCAGGAAACUGGGGCUAAUACCGGAUAGGAGCUCCUGCUGCAUGGUGGGGGUUGGAAAGUUUCGGCGGUUGGGGAUGGACUCGCGGCUUAUCAGCUUGUUGGUGGGGUAGUGGCUUACCAAGGCUUUGACGGGUAGCCGGCCUGAGAGGGUGACCGGCCACAUUGGGACUGAGAUACGGCCCAGACUCCUACGGGAGGCAGCAGUGGGGAAUAUUGCACAAUGGGCGGAAGCCUGAUGCAGCAACGCCGCGUGCGGGAUGACGGCCUUCGGGUUGUAAACCGCUUUCGCCUGUGACGAAGCGUGAGUGACGGUA